UACAGAGGGUGCAAGCGUUAAUCGGAUUUACUGGGCGUAAAGCGUGCGUAGGCGGUUUGCUAAGUCGGUUGUGAAAGCCCUGGGCUUAACCUGGGAAUUGCAGUGGAUACUGGCAAGCUAGAGUGCGGUAGAGGAUGGUGGAAUUCCCGGUGUAGCGGUGAAAUGCGUAGAGAUCGGGAGGAACACCCGUGGCGAAGGCGGCCAUCUGGACCAGCACUGACGCUGAGGCACGAAAGCGUGGGGAGCAAACAGG
rnacentral:rRNA from 1 species